rnacentral:lncRNA from 1 species
UAAACUUGGGUUUAGGUUGUCAGCACUGAUUUAAAGAGAUUUGCUUUGUUCAGUUUGCUUCUGGGAAAGAACUGACAUUCACAGCAGGGUUUGGGGGUUAAGAAUGAAACCUGAGCUGGCUUCUUCCCCACUGGGUGUGUGCAGAGUGAGUCAGAUGUUUGCACAGAAGGCUGUGGUGUCAAAUCAAAUCCACAAAUUUGCAGGCCUUAUGCCUUUACCACUUCAAACCGGAAAGGUGUUGCAACAUAACAGUUUUAAUUGCUAAACCCUAGCUGCAAACCCAAAUCUCUGGAUUUAAUAAGAAUUGGGUGUGAAAGACUGUGAACAGUGGCAGUUUUCUGCCAGGUUUACCUUCUUUCCUGCUCUUGGUUGAGAUUUGCGGACCUUUGUAUCCACUGUGGUCUCCUUGGAACAAGCAACUGGAAAUUCUUCACACCAGCUAUGGCUGGUAGGAAUUUCGGGCCACAACUCAGGCUUCCAGACUCUGGACGGUAUUCCCAGAGUCAGCUCCCUUCUGAAUUGGGAGAAAGAGAGAAAGGAAAAUACAAGAAGACCCAACCAUGUGGAUUAACACCCUAUAGCAUGAUCCAGGCCCACAGCCAGCUCUGUGUUUCCAGAGUCAUAAUGGUGAAGAGGAUGGUGACAUCCAAGGACAACCACAGGGCCUCUCUCCUGACACUGGUGAGAACCAGAUUCCUUUCCCUGGUUCUGUAGCUCCCAGCAGAGUUUUGGAAGCUGAUUAAAGAGAAUGUUGGAAAUAACAGGCAAUUAGAAACCUUAUUAAAAAAAGGAAAAACACUCUCAUCAAACUUGCCAAAGCGUCUUAAUGGCUGGAUGUGGAGGAGGCAUUGGAAACUGCUGGCUGCAAGGGUCACUUGUGCCAGAGGGUGGCCUGGAAGCUGAGGAAAGUGUGGAGAGGGACUGGGGCCAGUUCCCAGGGACAGAGAGUGCAAGGGGACUGUUUAGGAAGUUAUUUCCGAGUUGAUGCGCCCAGUGAGUAUAAAGUGAAAGAAGGCCAUUUACAAGUCCUAAGAAAACCACAGCUGGUGAAACUGGUGGCAAAAGGACCAAAGGAAAAGAAAGGGACACACACACCCAUACACACACCUAUACACAGAAGAGACAGAGCCCACCACCAAGAGAGGCAGAGUGGAGUGCAUUUCCCCACUGGCCAGUUCCUCGACUGCUCAGAAUAUGCCACAACGGGUAGUUGGAAGGAGAUCAGCAGAGAUGAGGGUUCAGAUAAUCGAUGCAACUCACUGCUUUAGGGUUCCUCACCUCCUGCAGUCCCUAGGGACCACCCCCAGCAUGGCAGAGCUUGUGGGAGGUAAUUUGAAUGGCCAUGUGUGGGCUGAGUGCGGGUUUGGCCCUCAGGUGACCUGCUUGGACUCUGAUAGCAGUUGAGCAGCCCCCCGCUUCAGGGGUGCCUCC